GAUAAACGCUGGCGGCGUGCUUAACACAUGCGAGUCGAACGAAGUUUUUCCUUCGGGAGCAACUUAGUGGCGGACGGGUGAGUAACGCGUGGGUAACCUGCCUUGUACAGGGGGACAACAGCUGGAAACGGCUGCUAAUACCGCAUAAGCCCUUAGCACUGCAUGGUGCAUAGGGAAAAGGAGCAAUCCGGUACAGGAUGGACCCGCGUCUGAUUAGCCAGUUGGCAGGGUAACGGCCUACCAAAGCGACGAUCAGUAGCCGAUCUGAGAGGAUGUACGGCCACAUUGGGACUGAGACACGGCCCAGACUCCUACGGGAGGCAGCAGUGGGGAAUAUUGCACAAUGGAGGAAACUCUGAUGCAGCGACGCCGCGUGAGUGAAGAAGUAUUUCGGUAUGUAAAGCUCUAUCAGCAGGGAAGAAAAUGACGGUACCUGACUAAGAAGCACCGGCUAAAUACGU
rnacentral:rRNA from 1 species